rnacentral:rRNA from 1 species
GAAUUUUAUAUAAAUUUAUUUAAAUAUUUAAUGUACAAAAUGUUAGAUUAAAAAAUUGAAUUUAUUUUGGAAUAAAAAAUUAUAUUUAAUUGGGAGGAUUAUUAAAUUAAAUAAACUUUAAGUUUCAAAUUAUUACAUAGAUAAAUGAAUUAACUUAAUAAUAGAAUGAUUAAUAAAUUAAGAAAGAAAUAAUUAACUUAGGGAUAACAGCGUAAUAUUUUUGGAUAGAUCAUAUAAAUAAGAAUGAUUGC